rnacentral:rRNA from 1 species
GACGAACGCUGGCGGCGUGCUUAACACAUGCAAGUCGAACGGAAAGGCCCUGCUUUUGUGGGGUGCUCGAGUGGCGAACGGGUGAGUAACACGUGAGUAACCUGCCCUUGACUUUGGGAUAACUUCAGGAAACUGGGGCUAAUACCGGAUAGGAGCUCCUGCUGCAUGGUGGGGGUUGGAAAGUUUCGGCGGUUGGGGAUGGACUCGCGGCUUAUCAGCUUGUUGGUGGGGUAGUGGCUUACCAAGGCUUUGACGGGUAGCCGGCCUGAGAGGGUGACCGGCCACAUUGGGACUGAGAUACGGCCCAGACUCCUACGGUGGGCAGCAGUGGGGAAUAUUGCACAAUGGGCGGAAGCCUGAUGCAGCAACGCCGCGUGCGGGAUGACGGCCUUCGGGUUGUAAACCGCUUUCGCCUGUGACGAAGCGUGCGUGACGGUAAUGGGUAAAGAAGCACCGGCUAACUACGUG